rnacentral:lncRNA from 1 species
UGGGUUCGGUUUGGUUUGAGUAAUUUAGGUUUUAUAAAACUCAAACCAAUUAAAACCAAAGUAGCUUUGGUUUGGGUUCGGUUCAGUUUGGUUUGGUUUAGAUUUAGUUCGGUUUACAUUAUUAUGGUCUAGUUUGGUUCGGUGUAGUUUGGGUUGGUUAUAAAAUAUGAAGGCAUCAGUUUUAUACUUUUAUUAUAAAAUAAU